rnacentral:tRNA from 1 species
GGAUUGUGGCUCAGCGGUAGAGCGCUUGCCUAGCAUGUGCGAGGCCCUGGGUUCGAUCCUCAGCACCA